AUUGAACGCUGGCGGCAGGCCUAACACAUGCAAGUCGAGCGGCAGCACUUCGGGUGGCGAGCGGCGGACGGGUGAGUAACACGUAGGAAUCUACCUAGUAGUGGGGGAUAGCCCGGGGAAACUCGGAUUAAUACCGCAUACGCUCUACGGAGGAAAGGGGGCUUCGGCUCUCGCUAUUAGAUGAGCCUGCGUCGGAUUAGCUAGUUGGUAGGGUAAUGGCCUACCAAGGCGACGAUCUGUAGCUGGUCUGAGAGGACGAACAGCCACACUGGGACUGAGACACGGCCCAGACUCCUACGGGAGGCAGCAGUGGGGAAUAUUGGACAAUGGGCGAAAGCCUGAUCCAGCAAUGCCGCGUGUGUGAAGAAGGCCUGCGGGUUGUAAAGCACUUUCAGUUGGGAAGAUGAUGACGUUACCAACAGAAGAAGCACCGGCUAACUCCGUG
rnacentral:rRNA from 1 species